GACGAACGCUGGCGGCGUGCUUAACACAUGCAAGUCGAACGGAAAGGCCCAGCUUGCUGGGUGCUCGAGUGGCGAACGGGUGAGUAACACGUGGGUGAUCUGCCUCUAACUUCGGGAUAAGCUUGGGAAACUGGGUCUAAUACCGGAUAGGACAAUCGUUUAGUGUCGGUUGUGGAAAGUUUUUUCGGUUAGGGAUGAGCCCGCGGCCUAUCAGCUUGUUGGUGGGGUAAUGGCCUACCAAGGCGUCGACGGGUAGCCGGCCUGAGAGGGUGGACGGCCACAUUGGGACUGAGGUACGGCCCAGACUCCUACGGGAGGCAGCAGUGGGGAAUAUUGCACAAUGGGCGCAAGCCUGAUGCAGCGACGCCGCGUGGGGGAUGACGGCCUUCGGGUUGUAAACCUCUUUCGACAGGGACGAAGCUUUGGUGACGGUACCUGUAUAAGAAGCACCGGCUAACUACGUG
rnacentral:rRNA from 1 species